rnacentral:rRNA from 1 species
ACUCCUACGGGAGGCAGCAGUGGGGAAUAUUGGACAAUGGGGGAAACCCUGAUCCAGCCAUGCCGCGUGUGUGAAGAAGGCCUUCGGGUUGUAAAGCACUUUCAGUGGGGAGGAAAGGUUGAUGGUUAAUACCUAUCAGCUGUGACGUUACCCACAGAAGAAGCACCGGCUAACUCCGUGCCAGCAGCCGCGGUAAUACGGAGGGUGCAAGCGUUAAUCGGAAUUACUGGGCGUAAAGCGUGCGCAGGCGGUCUGUUAAGCGAGAUGUGAAAGCCCCCGGGCUCAACCUGGGAACUGCAUUUCGAACUGGCAGACUAGAGUCUUGUAGAGGGGGUAGAAUUCCAGGUGUAGCGGUGAAAUGCGUAGAGAUCUGGAGGAAUACCGGUGGCGAAGGCGGCCCCCUGGACAAAGACUGACGCUCAGGCACGAAAGCGUGGGAGCAAACAGGAUUAGAUACCCUGGUAGGUCAGUC